AUCUUACCAUGUUGCCCAGGCUGGUCUUGAACACCUGGCCUCAAGGGACGCUCCCAGCUGAGCCUCGUAAAGCCCUAGGAUUACAAAUGUGCUGGCCCUCUUUCAUUGCAAGUUUCCCACUUCUCAUUUCAAUGGAUGCUAUCAAGGUCUUCUCCAUCUAAGACACACAUACCACAGGAAGUCUCCUCAGUGUCUCCAGAAGAGAUAAGAACACAAAGAACACGUGCAUCUUCCACUCGAACAAGCUGCAGUGAGGACCUGAUAGUCAAAAUUACUUGGAGGAAAAUCACAGCUCUUCUCCCCUAGAAAGUCUGCUGAGUCUCACCAGGAGAAUCUCACAGGGAGGCUGCCACGAAUUCUCUCUGCAAGGACUGUGAAACUCAGAAUUGCUGAUGGAAUUUUGUGCAUCUGUCCUGUUGGAGAGAGGAAUUUUUCACUGGAGAAAGCUCAAGCAUGAAGGCUGAAUGGUGGAAGAAGUAGGCUCUGAUGGACAUUACAGUUUAUCCCUCCAGAUCCACUUUCCUUCCCCAGGCCACGCUCCAUCCUGCUCUGUGCUUCACCAAGUUGGCCUGUAUGGGCUAUGCUGGUGGCUUCUUUGCAUUCUGUCCUUUGGUUGGGCCUAGCCAAUGAGAGGCACUGGUAAGGGAUGAGAGGGUGGAGAAGAAUGAGGUUGCAUUAUAUAUUCUCUAAGCUCAUUCUCUGGUGGCCUGCCACGAAUUGGCCACCUCACUCCACCAAAAGUAGUUCUUUCUGUCAGGUAGCCCUUUCUAUGAAACUACUCUCUUUGAGUUCAAGCAACUUCUUCCUCCUCUUACACUUUAGAUCAAGGGGUGGUAACAGCUCCUAGCCCUUGCUAGCCUGAGAUUGCUGUACAAAUUUACUGGUUUUCUUGAUGUCUGCCUACACAUUAUUAAACUCUUCUCAUUAUCCAAGUUUGUAAAUGCCUUCUAUUUCUUGCCAGGAUCCCAACUGAUAUGGUUAGCCUGUGGAUUGAUUUCUUUAAACUCAUGUUUUCACCCCUUGUCCCAUCAGACAUGGUCAGGAGCUGUAAGUUUAAAUACCACAAACACAACUGAAGGCCAGCCCAUGCAUUUCCAGUGAAAACACUUUUAUGAAUAGAGGGUGUUGGCUUGACGGAGAUCCCAAACUUGGCAUAACAUCCAGGAGACAAGUUUAGACAUUAUUUUCACUUUAUUUUGUAAUAGCCCUGAAAUUACUCAGUAGUGAUGAGGAUGUUGUUGGUGCAGUGGCAAGGGUGUUGUAAUGAGAUAUCCCUGGUUAUC
rnacentral:lncRNA from 10 species